rnacentral:rRNA from 1 species
CCUACGGGAGGCAGCAGUGAGGAAUAUUGGACAAUGGGCGCAAGCCUGAUCCAGCCAUGCCGCGUGCAGGAAGAAGCAUCUAUGGUGUGUAAACUGCUUUUGUACAGGAAGAAACACUCCCUCGUGAGGGAGCUUGACGGUACUGUAAGAAUAAGGACCGGCUAACUCCGUGCCAGCAGCCGCGGUAAUACGGAGGGUCCGAGCGUUAUCCGGAAUCAUUGGGUUUAAAGGGUCCGUAGGCGGUUUAAUAAGUCAGUGGUGAAAUCUGGUCGCUCAACGAUCAAACGGCCAUUGAUACUGUUAGACUUGAAUUAUAAGGAAGUAACUAGAAUAUGUAGUGUAGCGGUGAAAUGCUUAGAUAUUACAUGGAAUACCAAUUGCGAAGGCAGGUUACUACUUAUGGAUUGACGCUGAUGGACGAAAGCGUGGGGAGCGAACAGGAUUAGAUACCCUGGUAGUCCACGCCGUAAACGAUGGAUACUAGCUGUUCGGAGCAAUCUGAGUGGCUAAGCGAAAGUGAUAAGUAUCCCACCUGGGGAGUACGUUCGCAAGAAUGAAACUCAAAUGAAUUGACGGCUGAGAGAGCGACGACGACGACGAGGGAGGAGG